GAGAGGAGCAAGGAACAGCUGAAGAGAUGUGUGAAGGGAGGAUUUGGGCUCAAAGAGAGGGAAACUCUGAGGACAGAGACCUCACAGAGCCCUUGUCAGGGGACACCAGGGAGCACCAACUUGAGAAGGGCCAGCGGCCACCAGCUCACUCUCCGAGUAUCCACCAGGAACACGAGAUGGCUGCUAGAGGAAUGUGCCUUAGGUGCAAGCUCAGGUCUGAAAAUCACCUACAUUACAGGUGGUCCAGAGAGAUCUAGAUGAAACGGGGCAUUAGCACAUCUCAGAGAAUCAUUUCCCCAGUAGGUGGGGCAAAUUCUGGACCAUCUGGGCGAGAAGAUGCACUGGUCAGAGGGAACUGGAUAAAAUCAUGCUUUAUGAAGAAAAGAGUCACCAGGAAUGAACCAAGAAGUCAGAGAACUUAGACUCAAGAGACGAGAGUCUUCAGUGACAACAUCAACAUCCCCAAUACCCCCCAUCAGGAUGCCACCCAGGACACCACAUGAAGGAAGUUGUCCAAUCUCCCUGGGCUUGACUCUGCUCUGUGACACUUUCUCAAAUUUCCCUUGUUUUUGAUCACCUUGACAAUUUUGAGGAGUGCUGGUCAGAUAUUUUGCAGAAUAUCCUUCAAUUUGGAAUGAAGAAGUGAUAUGUGGAGGUGUAGCAGCCAUUCCGUGACCUGGACAUGGUGAGCAUGAAGAUAAAAGCCAAUGCGUAAAAGACAGCCGAGUAAAGAGUAGGACAGGCGCCUUGUCCCUGAUUGCAUCACAAGGCUGCUGCCCAGGCUCUGAAAUUGCAAUUUUCCUCCUUGAAGUACCACACAAGACUCAGCUGGAUUUCAAGGCUUUCUUCUUUCUCUUCUCAAGUCGAUGUAAACAAGAACAGAAUGACACAUUCACAGCCAGCUUCGCAUCUUGUCAUCUAGGUGGCCCAGGCACAGGAAAUCCAGGCCCCCAGUCUGCCUUCAUGUAGGGCUUAUUCAAAAUGGAAUGUGCUCAUGUCACCCCAGGAUUGAAACUUCUCCUGAUUCAGGGUGGCUCCCUGCCAAUGAGCAACGAGUGUACCUCAUGACGUGGCGGGAAUAGCCGGAAGUCCGCGGCUGCAGCUGGGGACAAAUAAAUGAGCCCCAGAUCCCUCGUGCUCUGGUAUCUUCCUGUCACCCUCCCUUCCUCUCUUAGGGACAGGCACUUUAUUCUGAAGUGAUCAAUCACAAUGAGUUGACCUUUGUAUUUAUGCUAGACUGUUCGCAUUAAGGGAUGUGCAUGUCCUCCCAAAGAAACGUUCAGUGUCUCCGUAACUGAUGCAUUUAUGAGACUCAAAUAAAAAAAGUUCUUUAAAGCACAGAAAGUGUCUGGGACGUGGGCCUGGCGAGGCCUCCCGCGGACGUGUUGACCAUGGCGGGCAGAGGUCUCUUGGCACAUCUCCUCCCAUCUCAUGGCGAAAAAUCUGGAGCUAGAUGAAAACCACCAACUCACACAUUCUGAAUCUCUAAAAUGUUUACUUCUAAAAUCGGAGCAUUGCAUAUAUUUAACUCCCUAGGCAUCUUUUCCAUUGAAAUUUAAAGUACAGCUAGAAGAUAAGGUUGUUUAUACUGGACUAUAGAAGCGUUGAUGACAGAAUAAUAACGAAAAAGCACUUCUGCUCUUAAGUUGUCAAAAAAAAACCCCACCCCAUCUUCUGUACAUUUAGUCUAUUUCCACGAGACUUACCUACUAUAGAAAAAAAAAUGAUGUUAAAUGGCACAGUUGUUCCUGUUGUCUUAUAGAGGUCAAAGGUCAAGACAGUCAGAGGCUAUCUGGAGAGUGGGUCACGUUCACGGUAAGUUUUUAAAUGGGUUUGAUAAAGACUUGUGAAAAAGCCAAAAGAGAUGCUGCAAUUUUAAUGCUAAGUGGCUUUGCAUUGGAAAAAUGCCCAAGGGCCAUGUCUAGCACGGUCACUUACUAAUGAGUGACGGGAGAUCGAUGGCGACAGAGUGCAGAGCAGCUCUGUCACUGGGGCACUCAGCUAACGUGUGAUCAGCCACAAGCGGCACCACUAGAGAAGCGAUGCACAGUCAGGGCCAGCCGGGCCCACCCUCAGCACGAGCACCGGCGGCUCCCGGUCCCUGGGAGCCCGGGAGGCCACUCUGCCAGCUCCUCAGGGACAGGCAGGAGGCCGCCCGGAGCCCGAAGGGACAGAGCAGGUUGGCGAGAUUUCACUCGGUCUUCAUUUCAACACUCUGCUCUGAGGUCAUUCUAAAAGAAAUCAAAUAUUCCUGAGCACCCCUGUGUGCCAGGGGCCUCGAAAGCCUUGAAAUACGGAGGGACCAGGAGGUGCUCCAGUGGGACACACUCACAGCCUCGGGACACCACGGAGGGCUGCUGGUCCUCCUUUGCCCACCGAGCCUGCGGCCACAAGGUCAGUGUAAAUUCGUCGUCCUCAAGCAGACAUAGCGGAAGGCAGUUGGCUGGUCCCUGUAAAUCCAUCACGUCUCCAACGGAGCAGGUCCCUCCCUGGAAAGAGCUGCCCGGGGAGCAUCUGGCCAGUGCCCCGCGGACACGGAGUCCUAGGAGGGUGCAAUCUAAUUAAGCCUCUCCUGCAACAGUAAAUAAGAGGAAUAAUGAAGAAAUAUGCCAGGGCCUCGUUGUUGGGGUUUCUUUGCUUGUAUCAGAAAUAGUAACCCAGAAAGAACAAAUAGAACCUCAGG
ensembl:lncRNA